UAAACUGAAGCUAAAUGUAUGAGCGCUUGGCUGUUAACUAAGAGUUAGUGGGAUAAAUACCCUCCAGUUUAG
rnacentral:tRNA from 1 species